rnacentral:rRNA from 1 species
UACGUAGGGUGCAAGCGUUAAUCGGGAUUACUGGGCGUAAAGCGUGCGCAGGCGGUUAUGCAAGACAGAUGUGAAAUCCCCGGGCUUAACCUGGGAACUGCAUUUGUGACUGCAUAGCUGGAGUACGGUAGAGGGGGAUGGAAUUCCGCGUGUAGCAGUGAAAUGCGUAGAUAUGCGGAGGAACACCGAUGGCGAAGGCAGUCCCCUGGACCUGUACUGACGCUCAUGCACGAAAGCGUGGGGAGCAAACAGG